UUAGCUUCAUCUACAGGUAUGACAGAAGAAGGACACGGGGGACUGCGCUGCUGUCUUCUGCAGAAGCGACACCUUCUUCUGGAGAAACUGAGCUCUGCUGCUAGCACCUACGCUUGUUUUGAUGUGGACUCAUCUUUAUUCGUGUUGGAGGAAGACAAAGAUGAUGAUGAAGAGGAAAGGCAACAGGAUGACAGCAGUUCAGAUCUUUCGGAGGAAGACAUAUAGACUGGCUGUGUGCAUGUGCUUAAUGUGUUACACAGUCACACACUGCAAGCUACCAUGAAGCAAAAUUUAAACUCUGGUGGAAGAAUAUUUAGACCACUUUUUAUUAAAAUACUUACGUGUUCCAACUUUACUGUAAUAAAAUGUGUAAAUAGUCACGUGUUCCUUGUUAAAUGUUUUGGAUUAAUGUCAUGCUACAGUAACAUGUAUGUGAAAUAUUUGGUACUACAACAGUGUCCAAGAUAAUACAUAAAGUUUUU